AUAAGGUUAAGUUAAUAAGGGCGCACGGUGGAUGCCUUGGCACUAGAAGCCGAUGAAGGACGUGACUAACGACGAAAUGCUUUGGGGAGUUGUAAGUAAACAUUGAUCCAGAGAUGUCCGAAUGGGGGAACCCGGCAUGUAAUGCAUGUCACUCAUUACUGUUAAGGUAAUGAAGAGGAAGACGCAGUGAACUGAAACAUCUAAGUAGCUGCAGGAAGAGAAAGCAAAUGCGAUUGCCUUAGUAGCGGCGAGCGAAAUGGCAAGAGGGCAAACCGAUGUGUUUACACAUCGGGGUUGUAGGACUGCGACGUGGGACGACAAGAUUAUAGAAGAAUUACCUGGGAAGGUAAGCCAAAGAGAGUAACAGCCUCGUAUUCGAAAUAGUCUUUAACCCUAGCAGUAUCCUGAGUACGGCGAGACACGAGAAAUCUCGUCGGAAUCUGGGAGGACCAUCUCCUAACCCUAAAUACUCUCUAGUGACCGAUAGUGAACCAGU
rnacentral:rRNA from 1 species